AUACCUGGGUGGAAGAUUGUUUACUCAGGUGACACUCGACCUUGUCCUGAACUGAUGGAAGCAUCUCGUGGUGCAACGCUUCUUAUACACGAGGCCACUUUUGAGGACAGCUUGGUGGAUGAGGCCAUGGCAAAAAACCACAGCACAACUUCAGAAGCUAUAGACAUAGGGAACUCUGCCGGAGCGUAUCGAAUCAUCCUUACGCAUUUCAGCCAAAGAUACCCGAAAAUUCCCGUGGUCGAUGAGAG
rnacentral:misc_RNA from 1 species